UUCGCUUUUUCCCCCCUUGUCUGACAAACAUGUGCUGACAUGCCUGGGCUUGUUCUGACAUGCUUUCCUUCUGCAUGUAGUUUUUUUUCCUUUUGUACAAGGCAUAUUCUUGACGAUAGUGCUGCCUUGAAUGGGAGUAGAGCAAUUCUUAAUAAUUUUGCGAUUCAUUUAGUUCAGAGAGUAACCGCGAGGGGGACAGGUGUGUGACUUUAUGUCUUGCUGAACCUUUUUUUUUUUUUCCUGUACAGUAAGACUUUGGGAAUGAAAUGCUACAAUCUCCUCUUGUCUAUGGUGUUUUUCUGCAAUAGUUCCCUACGCAAUCAUUAUAGUAGAAUAAAGGAAAUAAUCUAGGGAUAGUGAUUCAAUAAAUAACAGGUGCCCUGUCUAGAGCGUACGCGUCCUUGAGCCACGCACCUGCAUGAUGACCGCAUACCGAGAGACUAUUGUUUCAGGUUGACCUUGUCUAGAGGAGCAUUAGUGGAAAAAAAACUGUGUAGCCCUGAGACAAUAGGAUGCCGUCACGACCAAUGAGACUGGCCUGCAGGGGGCGCAAGGAUUCACUUCUCUCUUGGACACUGGCGGGUGUAGACACGGUGGAUUUUGUGACGAGCGGAUUUACAAUGAGGGAAUGCUGUGAACGGGAAAAAUGAUGGUGAGUGCCUUUUUCACUCUGUUCAAGUGUUCGUUUUCCUCUGUUGCCCAACAGUCGUGCGAAUUUGUCCUGACGUGUCCUGACAUGCCCCGAUAUGCAUGCUUUCCUUUGUUAACGCUUUGUAUUUUGUCUUUUUUUGACAAGGAACAUUGUCGUCUUGACGAUAGUGCUGCCCUGAGUUCUGCGCGCGUUGAUUUGUUGAGUGCCUAGUCCUCUUAUUAGCCGUUGAUGGAGUUACAUGUUAGUAUGUUUUGUUCUUUUGCAAGUCUCAUUUAGUAAGACUUUGGAAUUCCUACGAUCAGUUUUCAUGCAUGGUGCUCUUCUGCAAUAGUUUCCUAUGCAAUCGUUAUAGAAGAAUAAAGGAAAUAAUCUUGGGAUAGUGAUUCAAUAAAUAAUAGGUCCCCUGUCUAGAGCGCACGCGUCCUUGAGCCACGCGGGUGCAUGAUGACGUCAUACCGUGGCUUCACUGCAGAUUGACCAAAGGAGCAUUAGUGGAAAAAAACAGUGUAGCCCUGAGACAAUAGGAUGAUGUCUGGACCAAUGAGAACUGCCAGCAGGGGGCGCAGGAAUGCUCUUCUCACUUAGCCUCACGACCAAUGAGAACGGCCAGCAGGGGGCGCAGGAAUGCUCUUCUCUCUUAGCCUCUCGCAGGUGGCGGUAGGAGCGCGCAGAGGGCGCUACGAGCGCGCGCAUGCGUAGCACCCGUAGAGUGGCGCUUACGUCAGUCCACCUCUGGCUCUCGUUGGGAGAAGACGUGCGGUCGUUCGCUCCGUCGUCACUUGAUCCCUGGCUGUCGACGAGAGCAGUCGCAUCGGUCUGCGCUCCUACUGUGGUGAGGUGAUUUGUUGUGUAACUAAUGCUUUCGCCAACUUUGUUCCCGCUUUGUUUGCGAUUUUCGUGCCCGUGCACGUCGGGUGCUGGUUGCUGUUGUCCGGGCAUUCCCGCCAUUUUCUAUCAUCUUCUGCCUUGGGACCGGGAGUAGCGUUGGCGUGAUUCUUAAUAAUUUUGUUGUGAGAUUAGUUGAGAAAGUAACCGCUAGGGGGUGCAGCUGCGGGGUUUAUACAGGACAAAAACCAUUACGAGUCAGUUUCUGCCUGCCUCUCGGAUGGAGCAGUCGCAUGGUUCUGCGCUCCUGUUCUGGUGGGCUCAUUUGUUGUGUAACUAAUUUUUUUUGUUGUUAGCUAUUGAUGGUUUGCAUACUCUUGCUUUUCCAGCCUCUGUAUUACGAGUGUUUUUCUCCUUGCAUGCCCAGAGCUGUCCUAACUUGCCCAGACAUGCCGUGAUGACGUCACAGCUGACGUCACAGGAUGUCCGGAACUGGUGGUCAUAGCUGCGAUGCUUUGCAACCUGCCUCUGUGCUCCGUCGCCCAGCGACGGUCAGCGGCCUUUCCGGACCGCUUUCUUCAAGAUGGCGCCGUUGAUCUUCAAUUAAACUCCUUCUCUCCACUCUA